rnacentral:rRNA from 1 species
GUGCCAGCCGCCGCGGUAAUACGGAGGGGGCUAGCGUUGUUCGGAAUUAUUGGGCGUAAAGCGUCCGCAGGUGGCACUUCAAGUCUGCUGUCAAAGGUCGGGGCUUAACUCCGAAUCGGCGGUGGAAACUGAAGAGCUAGAGUAUGGUAGGGGCAGAGGGAAUUCCUGGUGUAGCGGUGAAAUGCGUAGAGAUCAGGAAGAACACCGGUGGCGAAAGCGCUCUGCUAGGCCGAAACUGACACUGAGGGACGAAAGCUAGGGGAGCGAAAGGGAUUAGAUACCCCUGUAGUCCUAGCUGUAAACGAUGGAGACUAGGUGUGGCCUGUAUCGACCCGGGCCGUGCCGGAGCUAACGCGUUAAGUCUCCCGCCUGGGGAGUACGCACGCAAGUGUGAAACUUAAAUGAAUUGACGGGG